GAUGAAGAACGCAGCGAAAUGCGAUACUUGGUGUGAAUUGCAGAAUCCCGUGAACCAUCGAGUCUUUGAACGCAAGUUGCGCCCGAAGCCAUUAGGCCGAGGCACGCCUGCCUGGGCGUCACACGUCGUUGCCCCCCCAUCUACUCCUUCGGGAUUGCGGGGGGCGGAUGAUGGCCUCCCGUGCGCCUCGUCGCGCGGUUGGCAUAAAUGCCAAGUCCUCGGCGACGCACGCCACGACAAUCGGUGGUUGCGAAACCUCGGUUGCCCGUCGUGUGCGGUCGUCGCGCAUCGAGGGCUCGAAAAAAUUGCCGGGCUCCGGCUCGGCUUUCAACGCGACCCCAGGUCAGGCGGGGUUACCCGCUGAAUUUAAGCAUAUCAAUAAGCGGAGGA
rnacentral:misc_RNA from 1 species